AUUGAAUAUGCUGUGCAAUUUUGGGCACCUGUUCUAAAGAAGGAUAUUAUGGCACUAGAAAAAGUGCAGAGGCGGGCUACAAAAUUAAUAAAAGGAAUGGAACAUAUCGGCUAUGAAGAAAGGUUAACAAAUUUAAACCUAUUUAGUUUAGAAAAACGUCGCCUGAGAGGGGAUAUGAUAACAUUAUACAAAUAUAUUUGGGGCCAAUACAAACCAUUGUGUGGAAAUUUAUUCACAAACCAGA